rnacentral:rRNA from 1 species
UACAGAGGUCCCAAGCGUUAUUCGGAUUCACUGGGCGUAAAGGGUGCGCAGGCGGCCGUGUGUGUGAGGCGUGAAAGCCUGGAGCUUAACUCCAGAAUUGCACCUCAAACUACAUGGCUAGAGCAUUGGAGAGGGUAGCGGAAUUCACGGUGUAGCAGUGAAAUGCGUAGAUAUCGUGAGGAACACCAGAGGCGAAGGCGGCUACCUGGACAAUUGCUGACGCUCAGGCACGAAAGCGUGGGGAGCAAAAGGG